UUUCCGGUAUAAAUUUGUAUGAAACGCAGAGCACCCGGCUGUUAACCGGGUUGUUGUAGGUUCGAGCCCUACUCGGGGAG
rnacentral:tRNA from 1 species